UGGAGCAAUAAAACAUGAUUUGUUAAAGAAGCGGCAGCACGACACAAAUCAAUUAUGUGAUUACAGCAAUUAAAUUUCAAAUGAAGCAGGCAUUUUAUUGCUCAGUUGCAUUAUUUUUAUGGUGAUCAUCACUGUGUUUAUGGUGUCUGCCUUCACCUUCAAUCCCAAAAUGCCCAUGUACUAUUUGGCAUCAUUUCCCCCAUUGGAAUGAAGCAUGAAUAUGUUACAUUAAGCAUAUUGUUUAAUUUAAACAUGGUCGUUUUACAUGUUUAUGUGUUUAACGGUGCAAGAGGGAAGACAGAUGUCAAAGAGCUGGAGCCAUUUAGUUGCCGGGUCCCAGAAAUUCAUUCGGUGACCUUUCAGAGGUUGGUCCCCGGCCAUGUUGGUGCUGGGAAAACAAUUAGUCACAAAGCGAAGUUAAAUGAGGUAAAAGAAAAUAGAAACUUGAUGACCCUGAAAUGCUGGCACUCUAGAGGAGUCAAGCAACUGAGACAGAACUGCACGGAGCUGGAACUGCAAUCAAGGCUGUACAUAUUUACAGGCGUGUCAUAAAGCCAUAGUCUAUUCUCACUGUUUGUAUUAAUCUGUACCAGUGACCAUUUAAAGAGACACACACACGCACAUACUCUCCCUCUCUACCUCCCUUUCUCUCUCUCUCUCUCUCUCUCCCACAGGUCGAGGAUCAUCAUUGUUGAUGGAUUAAAAGUCCAGUUUGAAUGAGCUCGGCCAAGAGAGUAAUAAGCGGUCCACUGGCUCCGCUGUCACUUGUCAGUGCAUGUGUGUGAGUUACAGUGUGUGUGUAUUUGAAGCAGUGCCAGCAGCCCAGUGCAGUGCACUCAGCAAGAUGUUAAAGAUAAUCAGAGGCAAUGGCCCUGCAUAAACCCCCGCUAACUGGCAAGCCUGCUACAAUAUGCUGCUCAGUGAGGUAAGCUGGCACAAGCUCAUUUUUCAGACAUGCACAUUUUCACAUGCUUCAUUUUUGACAGAAAAAACAUUUUCAUUUAAAGCCACAGUGUUAAAUGUUGUUUUGUUUAUAUUACCCAAAAUAACUGGUUUGGUUUAGACCUUUCUGGAACCAUGAAUGUCCAGCCAGUAGUUUGGUCACAGGCUUAUAUUAACCAACAUUUAUAUUAUCAUGCACAUUACACUUAGAAAAGUAAGUAGGGCUGAUUGAUUUCAAAAUGAAAACAGUAAAUAUUGAUUAAUAUGCGGAUGCAGCUGUAAAAUGGUUUUCUCAUUUGGCGAGCAAAUAUUUUAUGUACUCUCAGCAUAAAAAGCAGAAUCCACCUGCAGGAAAGUUUUUCGGUGCAACAAAUAUUUUUUCAUGUCAUUUUUUUAAUGCUUUUAAAAUGUUUAAUCAUGUUUAAAAUUCAAUUAUUUUGCUUUUCAAAACAUAUUUUUCCAUACCAAAAUCCUGACUUCUGUCUUGUAAAAUAGGCCGGUGCAAUUCUCUAACGCCCUUUUGUUAUCCCGAUUUUUUCCAGAUCUUAAAACAUGAGCCAUGAGUGUUCACUGAAGCUGACAGUAUCUGUGUAUGAGAAAGGAGUACAGAUGUACAUGCACAUGUCCUCGUGACACCAGGUAAGUAGAGUUUACAGUCUGAUCAGCUGCACCUGUAUGCUUCAAUCUUAGCUCAAACUCAGAAUACUUUAGUGGUAUUUUAAUUUUUGUUUGGCGCAAAAUGCACAUCAGUUUUGACUUGUCACCUUAACCAUUUGAGACUUCUUUUGAGAAAAAUGCACAACUCAAAAGUGCACAGGUUUCUGUAUUCUAUAUCAUGACAGCAGGAGAAAGUAGCUGCCAAACAACAG
rnacentral:lncRNA from 1 species